rnacentral:lncRNA from 1 species
ACACCUCAUUCCCUCCGCUUCGCUUAAGCCGCUUCCUUCUGUCUUUCCUUUUCCCAUUUUCAUAUUUUGCUUGGAAGCCUAAAUGCAGAAAACUGCUGUAUGGGUAAGUUUAAGAUCUUGUAUAGGUAAGUUUUCAUAAAUUAAAUUUAUAUUAAUAUAUUAUAUCAUAGUAUGUUAUUGGUAUCUGUUUGAAAAACAUGGAUCUACUUUAUGUACUUCUAUAUUCUGAAUAUAUUUUUACAUCUAGUUUAUGUACUUGUAUAAGAUUUUUUUUUUUUCAUUUAACAGUAAGAUGUUUAUUUUUAAUCAUUUCUUGGAACAUAUGAAUCUAACUACAUUAACAAAUUACUUCAUUUAUUCAUCUCACAAAAGAAAAAAGAAAGUAAAAUAGUCUAUCUAUCUUAGAAUUUAGAACUUAAAUUUUUUUAGACAUUAUGUUAGUUUAUACAAUCUUAUUCACAAAUUAUAUUUUCUAUGGUUUAAUUUUCUGUGAUUUUUUUUAUCAGGUAGGAAGAGAUCCAGCAAAUGCAUGCAUCAAAAAUCAAUGGCUGCAGCUAAUCAAAUAAAGAUUUUAUCUUUCACAACAAAAACAUUACAUUAUCAUCAGGUUAACAUAUAAAACCUAUAUUGCUCUUUCAGAUCUACCUGUUUUAAAACAUGAAACAUUCUGCACAGUCACAUAAAUAAUAUAUUAAAUUAAGUUAAAUAUAUUUUUUGUUUCCUAAUUUUAAAUAUAACUAUUGUUUUAAAUUUUAAAUUAAUUUAAUUUCUAUAUUUAAAACGGUGUAAAUUUAAUAUUUUUAACAAAAUUUUAUUAAUUUAAAAUGUAUAUAUAAAUGAACAUUCAAAAAAAAAAUAUUAAACAGUAUAAAUAACUUAAAUAUUAUUAAAAAAAUAAUUAAAAAAUUAAUAUUUAUUAUAUAGUAUUUAAUUAUCAAUAAAUACUAUUAGUAAUAAUUAAAUAUAUAGACAAAAAAAUUUUAUUCCUGCAUGUGUAUGAAGAAAUUUGAUAUGAAAAAGAUAAAUAUUGUGAGACUUAAACUGUAGGUAAAGGUCAACUUGAGCAUAUGUACUUUCAAUCAUAUCAUAUGUGAUUUAAAUUUAAAGAAAUUUUGAAUAUAUAUUUUUGACACUUCUGUAAUCAUAUUAUAAUAUUUUGACAUUUUUUAGGAAUUUUUUUUUUUUUUACUGUUAGCAGAUAACUUAUAAUAUAUAUGGUGUAAUUUUCUUUUAAUAGAUGGAAGAGCUUCCAUACGAUGAGUGUCAUAUUAUGAGUGUCACUGGGAGCUGGAAUAAGCAAACAGAGACACAAGUUGGGACUAGAAGAAACAAGCAAAUAGAGAUAUUAAGAUUCAACAAAUUUCAGUCUAGAAGGAAAGUUUUCUCUAAUAGGUAAAGUAGUAUUACAGAUGUUUCUGAAUUAGAUAAUUUGCAGAAAAAAAAAAAAACUUUACAGUAUAAAAGAAGCCCUACUUUUUAUUUCUAUUCCUUCAUAUAUGUAGUAGUGAUGACUACAUUUACUACACGUCAUGUAUGUAUUAAUAUUUGAUUAGUGGAAGAAGUUAAACUAAACAUCCCUCUUACUCUCC